rnacentral:lncRNA from 1 species
GGCAAAACAGUAUACUCAUUACCUUUUUUUUUGUAGCUCACUGCAUUACAUCAAUAGGAAUCUGAAAUGAUUUGAAAUAUGCUUUAGUAACUUAUGAUAUUAAUUUUGGACUCUAAUGUCUUCAAAGCACUCUCAAGAAUCAAGAUACAUAUAUCAAGAAUCAGGAAAUGAAAAACAUACUACAACUCUCAAACUUUUGUUUUUGUUUUUGAUAAAUCAAAACUGAUUUAUCAACUCCAUACAACAUAUAUGAAAAACAUAAGCUAUGAAAAAUCUGCUCAUUAAAUGAAAAAAGGAUAAGAACAUAUAUGGAGCUGUGAAAUAGGAAAUCACUUUACCUCAACAAAAGGAUAAAUCAAAGGAAAGAGUCAGAAGAUGAUUGAAACAUACAACCUGCAAUACACCAGACACUUAGUAAGAAGAAAAUCAAUAUAAAAUAAAUGUGUCCAGUUCAAAAGAGAUUAUUAUUUUUAUUGUUGGACAUGGUACAAACAAUUCAUAACCCAUAAUCAAUAAAUUUAAAUUUAAUUUCAUGACACUUGUAAAAUAAAUUAGAGAACAAUCUACCUCAUAUUAUCAUUGACUUCAUCUCUUGAUUCUCAGAACCUUCUUCUUCAACCUUUCUCCUUUAAGAAACCCAAAAACACAAACACAAAGUUCAAUCAAUCAGAUACUCAAAACAAAGAAAAGUAAAAUUUCAACCAUAAACACUACUCUACUAUCUAUGGACACAGAUUACCUUCAAAUAAAAGGAUUGUUGUUGAACAACAGUGAUUCAAAAUCGUGUCUCCCUGAGCUACAGGAGAAGAAAAAAUUGAAAUCAGGGUUUAGAAUAUGAACACACUUCAGAUAUUAAAAAAAGAAAAAAAUAGAUUUAUAAUUAUUACCUCCGUCGUUGUUCAUGUGUUUGGUCGUAAGUAAAAUCGGCUUGGUAGCUAUUUGCGAUUGGAAUAGAGGAAGAGGAUGAGGAGAGAAUGAAUGAAUUCAUAGAGAGAGAGUGAGAGAUUUGAGGGGAGGAUUUAAAAUUUGAAUUUGAAUUGAGUGAAACUUGUCUGAGGGUUGUGCAGAUUUGGUGUUUAUGGAGUUUGUCUCAACUCUCAUAGCUUGCAAAGCUGUUUA